UACGAAGGGGGCUAGCGUUGCUCGGAAUCACUGGGCGUAAAGGGUGCGUAGGUGGGUCUUUAAGUCAGGGGUGAAAUCCUGGAGCUCAACUCCAGAACUGCCUUUGAUACUAAGGAUCUUGAGUUCGGGAGAGGUGAGUGGAACUGCGAGUGUAGAGGUGAAAUUCGUAGAUAUUCGCAAGAACACCAGUGGCGAAGGCGGCUCACUGGCCCGAUACUGACGCUGAGGCACGAAAGCGUGGGGAGCAAACAGG
rnacentral:rRNA from 1 species